AUCCCGGCUAAGCUAAUUCAAGUGCUUAUGCUGAUUCAUGGGAGGCCAAAAUUGAAUGUUGGAGGUUUCGCUGAUAAAUGCUGGUUUCUUAUUAUUAUUUCCAAGCGUUUACUAGUAACUUUCCACACAUUA
rfam:Lupinus angustifolius cultivar Tanjil chromosome LG13, whole genome shotgun sequence.